GUUUGAAUGGCUGUUGGGUAUAUUGACCAUCCUGGCAAUACUUAAUUUUCCAUCUGUGAAGAUCAGAUCUUUUUUUUCUUUUUUUUUUUUCACUGAAGAGGAAAGGAAGAAAAAGUACACUGGUGAAGAGAAAGAGAGACAAUUGCAAAAUUUUCACAAAAGCUGAAGAAAACUCCUUGGUGACAAUCCUGUUUGCUGAACAGGAUUGCCCUAAAGCAGGGAGGUAUUCCUGGUUUUCAAGAGAAGCCUCUUCAUGUCAGCUUGUCUUUUUGGUAGCUUUCACAGUGUGUGAAGAAGGAAGCCAGAGACAGAAGCAAUCUGACUUUCUUACAUUUUUGCCGAGGAUAAGAAGUUCUGAAAGCAAUGGCAAAACAGCAAAAUGUUUCAAGUAG
rnacentral:lncRNA from 1 species